rnacentral:ncRNA from 1 species
ACGGCCAGCACCUUGGCGAUAUACGGGAUCAGCGGCAAAUUCAGGACCAGCAGGACCACGUUGCCGAUAUACAUCGAUAUUAUGACCGACCAGAAGAUCUGCGGCUCGUCCACCAGCAACCGCGGACC